GACAGCCAGGAGGUUGGCUUAGAAGCAGCCACCCUUUAAAGAAAGCGUAAUAGCUCACUGGUCGAGUCGGUCUGCGCGGAAGAUUUAACGGGGCUAAGUGAUAAACCGAAGCUUGGGGUGCACAAACUUGUUUGUGCGCGGUAGAGGAGCGUUCCGUACGCCUGCGAAGGUGGAUUGAGAAGUCCGCUGGAGGUAUCGGAAGUGCGAAUGCUGACAUGAGUAACGAUAAUGCGGGUGAAAAGCCCGCACGCCGAA
rnacentral:rRNA from 1 species